GUCAAAUUUUGAAAUGAUUUGAAUAUCCAUGGCGUCUCUAAGGUACAAGGAGUUGCAAGGCUUUCGGGGUUAUUCUGGUUAGGGAUAGCAGUAUCCCAUGGCCAUUUUGAGGAGAACAAAGGGUUGUUGGACUUGGAAUUCUCCUUGGCCAUCGAUAAAUUGUCUUAAAACUUCUCCGA